AACCAUUAAAUCACAUUCCUUAGGAUUAGCUUGAAACCUUGCACACAUGCACACACUAAGCAUAAUAUCGGGUCUAGAUACACAAAGAUAAAGCAAGGAGCCAAUCAUAGACUGAUAUACCUUUUGGUCCACACUCUUACCAUCCUCAUUUAGAUCAAGAUGUCCAUUUGAUGGCAUUUGAGUCUUGAUGGGCUUGGCAUUCUGUGACGACCGACCCGAAAUCUCUCGAGUUAAUCUUAAUCCGAGCCCCUGAUCACCCGUCUUAGUUUUCCAAGCCUAAGUGUUCAACCUCCCGACCGGUCCCGACCCCUGAGACCCGACCCCUCUCCGCUGGCAUCCAGUUCCGACCCCGCCGACCCCAACUCACCCGCCGGAUCUUCUGAGUCAUCCCCAACACCUCCCUUCAGUCUGACCGGUGGACCCACGAGAUCUUUUCCCCCAGAUCUUCCGCGACAGGCGCACUCGAGUUGCAUGUCCGCUUCAGAGUUCCCCCGCCGCGUGGCUCAACUCCUCCGACGCCUGCCGCUCCGCCUCGUUCCUGGCCCACGACCAAAUGGAUUCUCGCGCCCUCCUCC
rnacentral:lncRNA from 1 species